rnacentral:rRNA from 1 species
UACGAAGGGGGCUAGCGUUGCUCGGAAUCACUGGGCGUAAAGCGCACGUAGGCGGAUUGCUAAGUCAGGGGUGAAAUCUCGGAGCUUAACUCCGAAACUGCAUUCGAUACUGCCGUGCUUGAGGACUGGAGAGGAGACUGGAAUUCACGGUGUAGCAGUGAAAUGCGUAGAUAUCGUGAGGAAGACCAGUGGCGAAGGCGGAUCUCUGGAGAGUUCCUGACGCUGAGGCACGAAGGCCAGGGGAGCAAACGGG